GGGUUGUGAGGUUAAGCGACUAAGCGUACACGGUGGAUGCCCUGGCAGUCAGAGGCGAUGAAGGACGUGCUAAUCUGCGAUAAGCGUCGGUAAGGUGAUAUGAACCGUUAUAACCGGCGAUUUCCGAAUGGGGAAACCCAGUGUGAUUCGUCACACUAUCAUUAACUGAAUCCAUAGGUUAAUGAGGCGAACCGGGGGAACUGAAACAUCUAAGUACCCCGAGGAAAAGAAAUCAACCGAGAUUCCCCCAGUAGCGGCGAGCGAACGGGGAGCAGCCCAGAGCCUGAAUCAGUGUGUGUGUUAGUGGAAGCGUCUGGAAAGGCGCGCGAUACAGGGUGACAGCCCCGUACACAAAAAUGCACAUGCUGUGAGCUCGAUGAGUAGGGCGGGACACGUGGUAUCCUGUCUGAAUAUGGGGGGACCAUCCUCCAAGGCUAAAUACUCCUGACUGACCGAUAGUGAACCAGUACCGUGAGGGAAAGGCGAAAAGAACCCCGGCGAGGGGAGUGAAAAAGAACCUGAAACCGUGUACGUACAAGCAGUGGGAGCACGCUUAGGCGUGUGACUGCGUACCUUUUGUAUAAUGGGUCAGCGACUUAUAUUCUGUAGCAAGGUUAACCGAAUAGGGGAGCCGAAGGGAAACCGAGUCUUAACUGGGCGUUAAGUUGCAGGGUAUAGACCCGAAACCCGGUGAUCUAGCCAUGGGCAGGUUGAAGGUUGGGUAACACUAACUGGAGGACCGAACCGACUAAUGUUGAAAAAUUAGCGGAUGACUUGUGGCUGGGGGUGAAAGGCCAAUCAAACCGGGAGAUAGCUGGUUCUCCCCGAAAGCUAUUUAGGUAGCGCCUCGUGAAUUCAUCUCCGGGGGUAGAGCACUGUUUCGGCAAGGGGGUCAUCCCGACUUACCAACCCGAUGCAAACUGCGAAUACCGGAGAAUGUUAUCACGGGAGACACACGGCGGGUGCUAACGUCCGUCGUGAAGAGGGAAACAACCCAGACCGCCAGCUAAGGUCCCAAAGUCAUGGUUAAGUGGGAAACGAUGUGGGAAGGCCCAGACAGCCAGGAUGUUGGCUUAGAAGCAGCCAUCAUUUAAAGAAAGCGUAAUAGCUCACUGGUCGAGUCGGCCUGCGCGGAAGAUGUAACGGGGCUAAACCAUGCACCGAAGCUGCGGCAGCGACGCUGAUGCGUUGUUGGGUAGGGGAGCGUUCUGUAAGCCUGUGAAGGUGUGCUGUGAGGCAUGCUGGAGGUAUCAGAAGUGCGAAUGCUGACAUAAGUAACGAUAAAGCGGGUGAAAAGCCCGCUCGCCGGAAGACCAAGGGUUCCUGUCCAACGUUAAUCGGGGCAGGGUGAGUCGACCCCUAAGGCGAGGCCGAAAGGCGUAGUCGAUGGGAAACAGGUUAAUAUUCCUGUACUUGGUGUUACUGCGAAGGGGGGACGGAGAAGGCUAUGUUGGCCGGGCGACGGUUGUCCCGGUUUAAGCGUGUAGGCUGGUUUUCCAGGCAAAUCCGGAAAAUCAAGGCUGAGGCGUGAUGACGAGGCACUACGGUGCUGAAGCAACAAAUGCCCUGCUUCCAGGAAAAGCCUCUAAGCAUCAGGUAACAUCAAAUCGUACCCCAAACCGACACAGGUGGUCAGGUAGAGAAUACCAAGGCGCUUGAGAGAACUCGGGUGAAGGAACUAGGCAAAAUGGUGCCGUAACUUCGGGAGAAGGCACGCUGAUAUGUAGGUGAAGUCCCUCGCGGAUGGAGCUGAAAUCAGUCGAAGAUACCAGCUGGCUGCAACUGUUUAUUAAAAACACAGCACUGUGCAAACACGAAAGUGGACGUAUACGGUGUGACGCCUGCCCGGUGCCGGAAGGUUAAUUGAUGGGGUCAGCGCAAGCGAAGCUCUUGAUCGAAGCCCCGGUAAACGGCGGCCGUAACUAUAACGGUCCUAAGGUAGCGAAAUUCCUUGUCGGGUAAGUUCCGACCUGCACGAAUGGCGUAAUGAUGGCCAGGCUGUCUCCACCCGAGACUCAGUGAAAUUGAACUCGCUGUGAAGAUGCAGUGUACCCGCGGCAAGACGGAAAGACCCCGUGAACCUUUACUAUAGCUUGACACUGAACAUUGAGCCUUGAUGUGUAGGAUAGGUGGGAGGCUUUGAAGUGUGGACGCCAGUCUGCAUGGAGCCGGCCUUGAAAUACCACCCUUUAAUGUUUGAUGUUCUAACGUUGACCCGUGAUCCGGGUUGCGGACAGUGUCUGGUGGGUAGUUUGACUGGGGCGGUCUCCUCCUAAAGAGUAACGGAGGAGCACGAAGGUUGGCUAAUCCUGGUCGGACAUCAGGAGGUUAGUGCAAUGGCAUAAGCCAGCUUGACUGCGAGCGUGACGGCGCGAGCAGGUGCGAAAGCAGGUCAUAGUGAUCCGGUGGUUCUGAAUGGAAGGGCCAUCGCUCAACGGAUAAAAGGUACUCCGGGGAUAACAGGCUGAUACCGCCCAAGAGUUCAUAUCGACGGCGGUGUUUGGCACCUCGAUGUCGGCUCAUCACAUCCUGGGGCUGAAGUAGGUCCCAAGGGUAUGGCUGUUCGCCAUUUAAAGUGGUACGCGAGCUGGGUUUAGAACGUCGUGAGACAGUUCGGUCCCUAUCUGCCGUGGGCGCUGGAGAACUGAGGGGGGCUGCUCCUAGUACGAGAGGACCGGAGUGGACGCAUCACUGGUGUUCGGGUUGUCAUGCCAAUGGCACUGCCCGGUAGCUAAAUGCGGAAGAGAUAAGUGCUGAAAGCAUCUAAGCACGAAACUUGCCCCGAGAUGAGUUCUCCCUGACUCCUUGAGAGUCCUGAAGGAACGUUGAAGACGACGACGUUGAUAGGCCGGGUGUGUAAGCGCAGCGAUGCGUUGAGCUAACCGGUACUAAUGAACCGUGAGG
rnacentral:rRNA from 1 species